UACAGAGGGUGCGAGCGUUGUUCGGAAUUAUUGGGCGUAAAGGGCGCGUAGGCGGCGCGGUAAGUCACCUGUGAAAUCUCCUGGCUCAACUGGGAGCUUGCAGGCGAAACUGCCGUGCUGGAGUGUGGGAGAGGUGCGUGGAAUUCCCGGUGUAGCGGUGAAAUGCGUAGAUAUCGGGGAGGAACACCUGUGGCGAAAGCGGCGCACUGGACCACAACUGACGCUGAGGCGCGAAAGCUAGGGGAGCAAACAGG
rnacentral:rRNA from 1 species